GGUUAAGCGACUAAGCGUACACGGUGGAUGCCACCGGCAGUCAGAGGCGAUGAAGGACGUGCUAAUCUGCGAUAAGCGUCGGUAAGGUGAUAUGAACCGUUAUAACCGGCGAUUUCCGAAUGGGGAAACUCCAGUGUGAUUCGUCACACUAUCAUUAACUGAAUCCAUAGGUUAAUGAGGCGAACCGGGGGAACUGAAACAUCUAAGUACCCCGAGGAAAAGAAAUCAACCGAGAUUCCCCCAGUAGCGGCGAGCGAACGGGGAGGAGCCCAGAGCCUGAAUCAGUGUGUGUGUUAGUGGAAGCGUCUGGAAAGGCGCGCGAUACAGGGUGACAGCCCCGUACACAAAAAUGCACAUGCUGUGAGCUCGAUGAGUAGGGCGGGACACGUGGUAUCCUGUCUGAAUAUGGGGGGACCAUCCUCCAAGGCUAAAUACUCCUGACUGACCGAUAGUGAACCAGUACCGUGAGGGAAAGGCGAAAAGAACCCCGGCGAGGGGAGUGAAAAAGAACCUGAAACCGUGUACGUACAAGCAGUGGGAGCACAGAGCAAUCUGUGUGACUGCGUACCUUUGUAUAAUGGGUCAGCGACUUAUAUUCUGUAGCAAGGUUAACCGAAUAGGGGAGCCGAAGGGAAACCGAGUCUUAACCGGGCGUUAAGUUGCAGGGUAUAGACCCGAAACCCGGUGAUCUAGCCAUGGGCAGGUUGAAGGUUGGGUAACACUAACUGGAGGACCGAACCGACUAAUGUUGAAAAAUUAGCGGAUGACUUGUGGCUGGGGGGUGAAAGGCCAAUCAAACCGGGAGAUAGCUGGUUCUCCCCGAAAGCUAUUUAGGUAGCGCCUCGUGAAUUCAUCUCCGGGGGUAGAGCACUGUUUCGGCAAGGGGGUCAUCCCGACUUACCAACCCGAUGCAAACUGCGAAUACCGGAGAAUGUUAUCACGGGAGACACACGGCGGGUGCUAACGUCCGUCGUGAAGAGGGAAACAACCCAGACCGCCAGCUAAGGUCCCAAAGUCAUGGUUAAGUGGGAAACGAUGUGGGAAGGCCCAGACAGCCAGGAUGUUGGCUUAGAAGCAGCCAUCAUUUAAAGAAAGCGUAAUAGCUCACUGGUCGAGUCGGCCUGCGCGGAAGAUGUAACGGGGCUAAACCAUGCACCGAAGCUGCGGCAGCGACACUGUGUGUUGUUGGGUAGGGGAGCGUUCUGUAAGCCUGUGAAGGUGUGCUGUGAGGCAUGCUGGAGGUAUCAGAAGUGCGAAUGCUGACAUAAGUAACGAUAAAGCGGGUGAAAAGCCCGCUCGCCGGAAGACCAAGGGUUCCUGUCCAACGUUAAUCGGGGCAGGGUGAGUCGACCCUAAGGCGAGGCCGAAAGGCGUAGUCGAUGGGAAACAGGUUAAUAUUCCUGUACUUGGUGUUACUGCGAAGGGGGGACGGAGAAGGCUAUGUUGGCCGGGCGACGGUUGUCCCGGUUUAAGCGUGUAGGCUGGUUUUCCAGGCAAAUCCGGAAAAUCAAGGCUGAGGCGUGAUGACGAGGCACUACGGUGCUGAAGCAACAAAUGCCCUGCUUCCAGGAAAAGCCUCUAAGCAUCAGGUAACAUCAAAUCGUACCCCAAACCGACACAGGUGGUCAGGUAGAGAAUACCAAGGCGCUUGAGAGAACUCGGGUGAAGGAACUAGGCAAAAUGGUGCCGUAACUUCGGGAGAAGGCACGCUGAUAUGUAGGUGAAGUCCCUCGCGGAUGGAGCUGAAAUCAGUCGAAGAUACCAGCUGGCUGCAACUGUUUAUUAAAAACACAGCACUGUGCAAACACGAAAGUGGACGUAUACGGUGUGACGCCUGCCCGGUGCCGGAAGGUUAAUUGAUGGGGUCAGCGCAAGCGAAGCUCUUGAUCGAAGCCCCGGUAAACGGCGGCCGUAACUAUAACGGUCCUAAGGUAGCGAAAUUCCUUGUCGGGUAAGUUCCGACCUGCACGAAUGGCGUAAUGAUGGCCGGGGCUGUCUCCACCCGAGACUCAGUGAAAUUGAACUCGCUGUGAAGAUGCAGUGUACCCGCGGCAAGACGGAAAGACCCCGUGAACCUUUACUAUAGCUUGACACUGAACAUUGAGCCUUGAUGUGUAGGAUAGGUGGGAGGCUUUGAAGUGUGGACGCCAGUCUGCAUGGAGCCGACCUUGAAAUACCACCCUUUAAUGUUUGAUGUUCUAACGUGGACCCGUGAUCCGGGUUGCGGACAGUGUCUGGUGGGUAGUUUGACUGGGGCGGUCUCCUCCUAAAGAGUAACGGAGGAGCACGAAGGUUGGCUAAUCCUCGGUCGGACAUCAGGAGGUUAGUGCAAUGGCAUAAGCCAGCUUGACUGCGAGCGUGACGGCGCGAGCAGGUGCGAAAAGCAGGUCAUAGUGAUCCGGUGGUUCUGAAUGGAAGGGCCAUCGCUCAACGGAUAAAAGGUACUCCGGGGAUAACAGGCUGAUACCGCCCAAGAGUUCAUAUCGACGGCGGUGUUUGGCACCUCGAUGUCGGCUCAUCACAUCCUGGGGCUGAAGUAGGUCCCAAGGGUAUGGCUGUUCGCCAUUUAAAAGUGGUACGCGAGCUGGGUUUAGAACGUCGUGAGACAGUUCGGUCCCUAUCUGCCGUGGGCGCUGGAGAACUGAGGGGGCUGCUCCUAGUACGAGAGGACCGGAGUGGACGCAUCACUGGUGUUCGGGUUGUCAUGCCAAUGGCACUGCCCGGUAGCUAAAUGCGGAAGAGAUAAGUGCUGAAAGCAUCUAAGCACGAAACUUGCCCCGAGAUGAGUUCUCCCUGACCCUUUAAGGGUCCUGAAGGAACGUUGAAGACGACGACGUUGAUAGGCCGGGUGUGUAAGCGCAGCGAUGCGUUGAGCUAACCGGUACUAAUGAACCGUGAGGCUUAACCUU
rnacentral:rRNA from 1 species